UGGGGAAUAUUGGACAAUGGGCGGAAGCCUGAUCCAGCCAUGCCGCGUGUGUGAAGAAGGCCUUUUGGUUGUAAAGCACUUUAAGCGAGGAGGAGGCUACUUGGAUUAAUACUCUAGGAUAGUGGACGUUACUCGCAGAAUAAGCACCGGCUAACUCUGUGCCAUCAGCCGCGGUAAUACAGAGGGUGCGAGCGUUAAUCGGAUUUACUGGGCGUAAAGCGUGCGUAGGCGGCUUCUUAAGUCGGAUGUGAAAUCCCUGAGCUUAACUUAGGAAUUGCAUUCGAUACUGGGAAGCUAGAGUAUGGGAGAGGAUGGUAGAAUUCCAGGUGUAGCGGUGAAAUGCGUAGAGAUCUGGAGGAAUACCGAUGGCGAAGGCAGCCAUCUGGCCUAAUACUGACGAUGAGGUACGAAAGCAUGGGGAGCAAACAGG
rnacentral:rRNA from 1 species